CCUACGGGGGGCAGCAGUGGGGGAUAUUGCACAAUGGGGGGAACCCUGAUGCAGCGACGCCGCGUGGGCGAUGGAGCGUUUCGGCGCGUAAAGCCCUAUCAGCAGGGAAGAGAAUGGACGGUACCUGACUAAGAAGCCCCGGCUAACUACGUGCCAGCAGCCGCGGUAAUACGUAGGGGGCAAGCGUUAUCCGGAUUCACUGGGCGUAAAGGGAGCGCAGGCGGCACGGCAAGUCCGGUGUGAAAGCCCGGGGCCCAACCCCGGGACUGCACUGGAAACUGCCGGGCUGGAGUGUCGGAGGGGCAGGCGGAAUUCCUGGUGUAGCGGUGAAAUGCGUAGAUAUCAGGAGGAACACCGGUGGCGAAGGCGGCCUGCUGGACGAUGACUGACGCUGAGGCUCGAAAGCGUGGGGAGCAAACAGGAUUAGAUACC
rnacentral:rRNA from 1 species